UACGUAGGCAGCAAGCGUUGUUCGGAGUUACUGGGCGUAAAGGGCGCGCAGGCGGCAGAUCAAGUCAGACGUGAAAGCCCCGGGCUUAACCUGGGAACUGCGUUUGGGACUGGUUUGCUAGAGAUCGGGAGAGGAGAGUGGAAUUCCCAGUGUAGAGGUGAAAUUCGUAGAUAUUGGGAAGAACACCGGUGGCGAAGGCGGCUCUCUGGACCGAUACUGACGCUGAGGCGCGAAAGCGUGGGGAGCAAACAGG
rnacentral:rRNA from 1 species